UACAUGUGGGGCAAGCGUUGUUCGGAAUUACUGGGCAUAAAGGGUGCGUAGGCGGCUUGUUAAGUCAGGGGUGAAAGUUUUCGGCCCAACCGGAAAAUUGCCUUUGAUACUGGCGAGCUCGAGUGCGUGAGGGGUAACCGGAACGAGCAGUGUAGCGGUGAAAUGCGUAGAUAUUGCUCGGAAGGCCAACGGCGAAGGCAGGUUACUGGUACGCAACUGACGCUGAGCACG
rnacentral:rRNA from 1 species